CAGCCUUGGGUUCCUGAUGCUGCCAUGGGCUCCAGGCUCCUCUGCUGUGUGACUCUCUGCCUCCUCGGAUCAGGCCUGGUGGAAUCUGGAGUCACCCAGACCCCCAAGUACCUGAUCAAAUCAAGAAAGCAGAACGCGACUCUGAGAUGUUCCCCUGAAUCUGGACACCUCUCUGUGUACUGGUACCAACAGGCCCUGGGCCAGGGCCCCCUGUUCCUCGUUCAGUAUUACAACCAGAAAGUGUGGGGAGAAGCACAGCUCCCGGAUCGAUUCUCAGGAAUACAGUUCAGUGACUCUCGCUCUGAGCUGAGCUUGACCCCCUUGGAGCUGACGGACUCUGCCCUGUAUCUCUGUGCCAGCAGCCAAGACACAGCCCUGCGUGAUCAGAUGCCUCUGGUACAAAAACACUCCUACCCCAGCUCAGGAUGUGGUUGCCAGGGUGUCAGCUGCCAGCCAGCGAGAGCCAGACCCAGGGGCGGUCCACGCUGGUGUCACCCAGGACCCCAGAUUCCAGGUCGUGUUGACAGGACAGAGCGCGACACUUAA